UAGAAUAAAAGAGGAGAUUCAAAUAAAAGCUUCUGCUGGUAGUAAAAUCAGACCUUGCACGCUCCUGGAAGCAGGUGCAGCUUGACGUAAGGAUCAGCCAAACCGUUGAAAUCCAUCGGCUUCAAACCCUUACAGAGAAGAUACGAGAGAGAAAACAUUAGAGGAUGCUGGGGAGAGUCGGUGAAAGCUUUCACCACUUUUCCGGGGUAGGGUCUCGGGGGCAACAGCUUAAGCGGAGAGGCCCAGACUUCCCUCUCCUCAGCCACUUGGGCCAGCUCCUCCGGGGGAAUCCCAAGGUGUUCCCUGGACAGCCGAGAAACAUAGUCUCUCCAGUGUGUUCUGGGUCUUCUUUUAGGUCUUCUCCUGGUUGGUCGUGCCUUGAAAACCUCACCAGGGAGGCGUCCAGGAGGCAUCCUGACCAGAUAUCCGAGCCACCUCAACUGGCUUCUCUCGACGUGCAGGAGCAUCAGGUCUACUCCGAGCUCCUCCCGGAUGAUCGAGCUUCUCACCCUAUCUCUAAGGGAGAGUCCAGCCACCCUGUGGAGGAAGCUCAUUUUAGCUGCUUGUAUCUGCAAUCUCGUUUUUUUUUUUUUUCGGUCACUAGCCAAAGCUCAUGACUAUAGGUGAGGGUAGAAACGUAGAUCGACCGGUAAGUGGAGAGCUUUGCCUUCUGGCUCAGCUCUCUCUUCAUCAUGACAGAUCGGUGCAAUGCAUGCAUCACUGCAGAUGCAGCACCAAUCUGCAUGUUGAUCUUACGCUCCAUCUUUCCCUCACUUAUGAACAAGACCCAAAGAUACUUGAACUCCUCCACUUGGGGCAGGACCUCAUCCCUGACCCAGAGAAGGCAUUCACCGUUUUCUGACUUAAGGCCGUGGUCUCAGAUUUAGAGGAGUUGAUUCUAAUCCCAGCCGCUUCACACUCGGCUGCAAACCGCUCCAGUGAAAGCUGGAGAUCACGUUCUGAUGAAGCCAACAGGACCACAACAUUUGCAAAAAGCAAAGACCCGAUCCUUAGGCCACCAUAACAGAUGCCCUCAACACCUUGGCUGUGCUUAGAAACCCUGUCCAUAAAAGUUAUGAACAGAUUACACAGUGGAAAAAAUUUGAAAUUGGACUAAAAACUUGAUUAAACAUCACAAGACGCUGUUUAGGCAAUAAAUGGUUUAAACACUUUAAAAUUAUGAAAUAGAUUUGUUUUGUUCAUUGUCUACAACAGUUUAACUACAAGGUUCAUUGUCAAAAAAUAAUCCAGUUUGAGUCACCAAUGUGAGAAUAUCUGGGCAGACAGCAUCAUCUCCUGCUCCCCAUGAUCAGCACCACGGACAGCGGCGCGCUGCGUUUGGUCUCCCAUCCAACCUCCGUCCUGAAGGCAACCAACACAGCUGUUCCUAAUCAACUGACAACUGCUGAGGCUUAUAAAUGCUGAGGCUACCUGAUCUGUGCUGAUUCCCCUGGUCAUGUUGGAACACGGAUAGUGAACCAGAGAGCCGUAGUGCUUUGCACAUGUGUUUGAUGCCAUAGCCCUCAGUUAGCUUACUGGUACAGCCUUAGAGCCUCGUUAGUUAGUUCAUAUAGUGGAUUUAACUUUAGUCGACUUCAGUUAGAAGCUUGCUGAUUUUCUUCCUCCUGAGUUAAUUUUAGUUGUAGUUCGGAUUGUUUUAUCAUUGUCACCUUGUUUAAAACUUUUAUCACUUAAGUUUGUUACUAGCACCCAGCUCCCCAUGCAAAUAAAAACCUACUGUUUACUU